rnacentral:lncRNA from 1 species
GUCCCUAGAGACAGCCUGGAAAGAUUGGGUGCCAGCUGCAGAGAGGAGAGCAAGGCGACCAAACGCAGGGUAAGGUCUGGAGGUGCUCAUAGUUCACUACGGGACAUGUACAUGGAAGUGAAUAAUUAUGUCACAAGGUGCCAAGGGGGCUAGUUACCUCACAUAGGAUCUUAGAAAAGGUCUCCUGGAGACCAUGUCUGAGCUGGUCCUGAGGUGUGAGUAGGGAUUCUCCGCAGGGCGGGGAAGGACUUGAAAGAGUCUGGCAAUAUGGAGCACAUCAGGAUUAUGGAAGCUGUGGCUGCCUGCAGCCCAUCCUGCCCCCAGCACCUAGAGUCAUCUUUAGAAAUGCAAGCCUGAUCGUGGAAUCCACCUUCCUAACACCCUUCAGUGCCCUCCUCUUCGUUACACCCUUACUAUACAAACGAUAGUCCAUGGACCAGCAGCAUCAACAUAACCAGGGAGCUUGUUAGAAAUGUAGAAUCUGGUCCAUCCCAAACCUGACGAAGCAGAAGCUGCAUUUUGCCAAGAUCCCAGGGAAUUUGUGUGCCCGUUAUGGUUUGCGAAGUGCUUCCCAAGAGAACAUACGGCAAGCCAGAGGGAUCUUUGCAGAUCUUGCUCCUUUCAUUCUCUGGCCUCAUCUUGUCGCUCUCCUCCAUCCGUGCCCACAUCCCCACUGUACUGGACCGCUUGCAGCUCCUUGAAUGCAGCAUAGUCUUGUUUUCUUUUUUGCAGUGAUUCUACAUCUUUCCCAUCUUCUCCACCUGGAUGCCUCCAUCCAUCCUUUCAGACUUCCCUUCUCUAGCAAACCUUUCUUGCUAAUUCCCAUGUCUAACACAACACUUCCCCAUACUGCAUGGCCAUUAUCCUUUCUGCAUCAGACUGUGAGCACCUUGAAGGCAGUGGCAGUGACUCAUUCAUUGUGGCAUCUGCAGAUUCCAGUGGACUGCCAGGCAUGCAAUAGAAAAUCAAAAAAGAUUUACUGCUAAAUAAUCCUCAACUCCAGUGGCAGCUCCAUGUGCCAUUUCUCUUCCGCUCUGGCCUCGGCUCUUCCUGUGCCUACCUGGGGCUUGGCUUUCACCUAGGUGUCUGCAUGGAAGGGAGAGCGACCUGGAGGACCAUCGCCAAUCCAUCAAUAGCCUCCCGGUUGAGAUGACUUCAGCUCUGAUUUGGAAGAGCUAUGAUAUUGUUUAUAGGAGUGAAUUAAUAUGUGUAAAGGUUACAAAGUAAACAGUUAAAUUAAAUUAAUUGUGCUGGAGCAGGUCAAACAGGCUUCUGAGAGAUGAACAUACACAUCUCUAUUAACUCCACAUUCAGUGAGUGUGGGUAACUUGAAAUUGGCUGGGUCACCAUUUACAUCAUAGAAAUUGGCAAAUAGUACAAAUUAGGGCUCCCUCACCCCUACUCGGGCAUAGAGCUGGUACACUAGCACACCUCUGGUUAUACAUGCAUGCGUGUGCCACCAGAACAAAACACCUAACAGCAGGCACGUUGCCUCUGUUGCCCACCAUUACAGCUCCCGCACGGAGCAGACAGACUCAUGGCAGGAAUUGAAUGCAUGUUUGUCGAGUGGAAGCAUGAACAAAUCCACAAAAUGCCCAAGAUGAGGCAAAGAAGGACAUUGGCUCAAAUGUUAAACAUAAGUUAGGAGCUGAGAUAAUGCCCAGAGGAAAAAUGUUCUGUAAUUCUAAGUAAAACCCAUCUCUAAGGCAGGAUGCUGCUUAUGAGGGCUCCACAGACAGAUGGGGGAGGCCUGGGUCCUGCCCUUGGAAAGAGUCUGACAGCUCGACUUCUGGAAACAGCCAUCUGCACAGGUCAACAUCUUCUUAGCUGACAGGGAGCAGAUUUGCAGACCACAUCACAUUUGAAAUUCCAGAAGAAACUUCUUGGAGUCUGCUCUUGUGCAAAUGAGCCUAGAAAGCCCGUUAACUUUGGGUGGAGGCUUCCACUGUUUGGCUAUCCCAAGUGGGCCCAAAGCUAAGGAAAACCCACCAGCCCUUUGCUUCCUGCUUCCUCUAUUUGUUUGCCCCAGGAAAUCAGAGGUGAUGACAUGAUUUGGCUUGGGCACGACAGGAAUAAACGAUAUUUAAGAGACGUCA